rnacentral:rRNA from 1 species
CAAUAGCGUAUAUUAAAGUUGUUGCAGUUAAAAAGCUCGUAGUUGGAUUUCUGGUAGGAGCGACCGUGCCGAACUUGAUUGUUCGUGUAUUGUGUUGUCUUCAGCCAUCCUCGUGGAGAACUUUUCUAACAUUAACUUGUUGGGAUUGGGACCCGCGUCGUUUACUGUGAAAAAAUUAGAGUGUUUAAAGCAGGCAUUAGCUUGAAUACAUUAGCAUGGAAUAAUAAGAUAGGACUUUGGUACUAUUUUGUUGGUUUGCAUACCAAAUUAAUGAUCAACAGGAACAGUUUGAGGAUAUUCGUAUGAACAUGUCAGAGGUGAAAUUCUUGGAUUUUGAUCAGACGAACUACUGCGAAAGCAUUUAUCAAGGAUGUUUUCAUUAA